rnacentral:misc_RNA from 1 species
GCAAACUUGGUCAUUUAGAGGAAGUAAAAGUCGUAACAAGGUUUCCGUAGGUGAACCUGCGGAAGGAUCAUUAGAGAAUUCGCCCAUUGUGGCGCAACCCUCUCUGCCCCUCGGGGCAAAGAUUCCUACACCUGUGCACCUCUCGGGCACGUCGCCUUCCUCGGAGGGCCUCGAGCCUGCUUUUUCUACACCUACUCCUGUUAUGUUUGAACGUAAUACCCUUUAAUUGAAACAACUUUCAACAAUGGAUCUCUUGGCUCUCGCAUCGAUGAAGAACGCAGC